UGCCUCCUACGGGAGGCGGCAGUGGGGAAUAUUGCACAAUGGGGGAAACCCUGAUGCAGCGACGCCGCGUGGGCGAGGAAGUACCUCGGUAUGUAAAGCCCUAUCAGCAGGGAAGAAACAGGACAGCACCUGACUAAGAAGCCCUGGCUAACUACGUGCCAGCAGCCGCGGUAAUACGUAGGGGGCAAGCGUUAUCCGGAUUCACUGGGCGUAAAGGGAGCGCAGGCGGCAUGGCAAGUCUGAUGUGAAAACCCGGGGCCCAACCCCGGGAGUGCAUUGGAAACUGCCAGGCUGGAGUGUCGGGG
rnacentral:rRNA from 1 species